UGACAGGGUGCUUUAAGGACCAGGGUUGGGAACCACUGUUAUAGACAACGUCGCAGACUGUUUGCAAUAAACGAGAUGUAUUUUCUGAGGAUCUGUAGGAUCAGUAAAAGUAUAACAAGGACAGUUAAACAUUUAACAGUGAGCAGAGAUAACACUUGAUUUCCUCAACUCUUAUUACUGUGAAUGUUUUAAUGCAGAUUGAUGCUGAACCAAUUUCUAUAUCCAUAUGGCUAUAGUACGAAUCAUGAUUUAAUAAAAGUCACUAAUAUCAUAUUUUAUGGUCAUCAAUCAAACUGCCCUUUAAUGUCAAAGUCAACUUUAUUGUCAAUAAGACCAUGCAAUUUUAGCCAUGUCCGUGUAAAUAAAGACGGAACAAAUUAAUGCAGACGUUUCGUUUCACUCGCUCUGCCAUUUCCAGCCUGCCGUGAAAUAGGCUAGUUUUGGUUGUCCGCAGUCACUGCUGGAAGUUUUAUAGUAACAUUUUACGGACUUAACGGUUCUUUGAAUCUCGUUCAUUCAAGGAUGAAUGAACAAAAGGAUCCGAAGACCCGGUCGGGAAAUGAACGAAUCAUUUUUGUUUCCUCGAGCCUGAAUGAGCCUAUGUAAAACUCCCGAUGCGCGGCCACGAGAAAAAGGAACCAAUCACUCUUUGAGAGGACUGUACUCCCGAGUCCUUGAAUCCAACAACUCAUCACUACUUACUGCAGACUAGCAGUCACUUUGUAUUCACAUUCCCUCGUGUUAAAAGAAAAGUUUAAAUAUAAAAAAUGCCUUGCAAUAAAUCUGUAGCUGCGCUAUCAUCUUCUAGAAGAUCUUAUACAAAUUCCAAGAAGCUGGAGGUAGUUGAACUUGCGAAACAUAAAGGAAACCGUGCCGCAGGAAGAGAACAUGGAGUACAUGAAAGACAGGUUCGUGAGUGGAGACUACGCGAAGAUGACCUGAAAAAGCAGAAAACCACUGCCAAAGCCGCUGGUCGAGGUCAACGGUGCCGCUGGCCUGAUUUAGAGAAGAAUAUGGCUUCCUGGAUCACAGCCCAGCAAGAUGCCGGGAGAACCGGGAGUACGGUAGCUAUUCGACUAAAAGCCAGUGUAAUGGCAAAGGAAAUGGGACAUAGAGAUUUUACGUCUAGCCCAUCUUGGUGUUUCCGCUUUCUGAAGAGGAACAAUUUAUCUAUCAGAGCCCGAACAGAUGUUGGACAGAAAUUACCUGAUGGCUGGGAGGAAAAAAUGCCAAGGAAAAAGAACUGGCGCAAAGGGCUUCAUCUUAAGGCUGCUGCUGUAGCACGCAGGAUCUUGAAAGCCAGCGAAAUGGCAAAGGCCCUGGAAGAGAAGGAGGCGGAGCUGAAGCCCACUCUGCAGAAGCUGAUGAUCUCAUCUGGCUCCCAGACGAAGGUCAACUUAAAGGAGAUGUCCCAGGAGGCCAACAGGGAGCAGGUCAAAGGCAUGCCCAGGUUUGGGAUCGAGCUGGUACAUCUCUCCAACCCAGAGGGCUUGGGUGUUGACGAGGACCUUCCCCUGCCUGGGCUCCAUGGCCCAUCCCCUCCCCCAGCCCAGGUUUCACCUGACAGAGAGAGAGCGCUCAGGACCCAGAGGGUGAAACAGCCCAGAGUAGCGUCAGGGUCCCCUGUCUCUCUGGAGGACCCUAACUUGUGUCAUGGCCACAAUGGAGAAGUGGUCCACAGAGCUGAGAAGAGGAAGAGGUGUAACACUGAUAGCGGAUUACCUGGUGUAUCUGCUGACCACAGCAGGAAAAGGCAGAAAGUGAAACUAAAGAGUGCAGACUCGGGCCAGGUGGGUCAGCUGUUGGCCGUGUCUCUGAAGGAAGAGGAGCUGAGCCGGUCCAUGCUGGCCUUGGACACUUCUCUCAUCCAGGCCCGCUGCUCACUGCAGGCUGCCUUCACCAAAGUUCAGCAGCUCCUGUUGGCCAAACAGCAGGUGGUUACGGAGAUCAACUGUCUGCGAGCCAGGCGUGUUGACGAAUCUUCUCUGGGAAACACCGUCUUUUGAAAUUCCUUUUUCGAACAAAAACGACAACGAGGCCCAGUGAUGUCAUUUCCUGUCUGCCACCUCUGAUCUGCAGGUGGAUACUCUGUGGUAACUACUAACGACGACACAGCUACAGCAGUGUUGACCCACAACUCCCUUCCUACUCCUCUUGUGCUGUCAAACCCUUACGUGGCCUCCUCGAUCCUGCCCCCUGUGGCCUGCUCUCCUCCCUCUCUGACUGUCUCUGCACACACUGGUAAUCCGAUCCUAGAGGCUCCAAAUCUGACCCAGAAGAAGAAGGUUCGAAGAGAAACAUGAAGUCAACCAGAUUCCAUACAAAUCAUAAACAAAAAGAUUGUUCAUUGUGUUAAAUGCCAUAAUUAUCGGGUACAGAAUUUGAUACAUAAGUGUAUUAUACUUUUCCCGCAUUCAAAAAUGAAAGAUAGAACUAACAAUGGGUUAGACUGGCUUGGCAAGGAGUUCCGUGAACAUAUUAACUGGGUCUAACUGAUGUGCACUAUAUGCUUAACUGCAAUAAGAAGCAAGUGCUGUGGGAGAAAUUGACUUGCAGUAGAGGGUACAAGUUGAUAUAUUAUUAUACAAAAGUCACUUUUUGAAAUAAUUUGUUUCUUAUCAACCCAAUGUAGAAAAUAGUUUUUCGAAGCAAUUCAGUUUUGAGGGGGAAGUUUACUUUUGUUGUAGUUCUGUAUUUUUUUUAUAUAUAUAGUUACCAUCCAACUGCAAAUUUGAUUCACUUUGAUAACCAAACUCGUACAUUGUUUAAAUAAUUGUGCAGAUGAUUUAGUUAGUGCUACUGUAGUGCCACUCAGUGUUAAAAUAAAAAGAUGCAUCAUGUAGCUCCCCCCAGUUCAAUGACAACUUGAGAAUUCCUUUUACUGGCAAUUUAUUGUAUGUACAACACACACAAGGUCUUGUUUUGCCGUGAGAAAUAAAAAGACAUAAAACAUAUUAAUUUACACACUACACAAAGAAACGUAUAGCUAAACGUAAUGUAAAUUGAAAUGACAUACAUUUCAUUGGCCGCACAACCAAAGGGAGUAGGUUAAACUUGUUGUAAUUUUCUUAGCUUUCUUUUAACUUUAAACUUGAACUAUCAAUGAGCACUGAUGAUGCUUAUGCUGUACGAGCAUGCUACACAGGAGUGCCGUGGUUGCCAUCUGCUUGGUCAAGUGUUUGUCACUAAUUCAGUUCCCCAGUGCAACACAUUCCAAUUCCUACACUUGCAUUCAGUAAUAACAUAAUGACAGUAAUAAUGGGCAAAUGUCAGUUACCUCAACAGUAUGCAUAAAAUAAUCAAGAAAAUGUCUGCGGAAGUAUGCAAUAUUAUCUAAUAUAAUAAUAAACAAUAUUAUAGUUGAUACUGCUACUGUUGAGAUGAGAUCCAUAGUUAGGAUGAUGCUAUUGUUGCACUGUCUUGCUAACCGUAUUCCUUGGUACUAAUCAUUGUAAUAACCUACUGUUCCAACUGUGCUCUUCUAGUCCAUGUGCUGCAUUAAUGUGCAGUAUGUAUACGUUGCUAUGGACAAAAGUAUGCUAAGCAAAUACAUGUAAACUGUGUAUUUGCCAUAAUUGUGUUAAUAAUGGUAUUUCUUGACAUUAUUAUGAUGUGCAAAUAAAGAACGAACAAGAGU